UGAUUUCAGAUGAAUGAAAGAAUAGGAUGCCAAGUUCCUGAAAGCCAUAAACACAAUAAACACUGUGCCCAAUUCUACCUUUGUCUAUGCUGGUCAGAAACAGAACAGAAUGCCAUUAUCUCUCGGGGUCAAUAUUAAUUGCAAACCGAUGGCCACUUGUGAGCACAGGAGCGUUCCCCGGGCCGCGUUUGCUGCCCCGGCCCGGGGCUGAGCCGGAGGCGGCUUCGAGCCACACGGGGGAGUCGCAAAGCGCGCUCGGCCAAGUUCGCUCUCAUAAAUCACUCCUUGGAAACCCGAUUUCUGCGUGCUGCCGCCUUGUCAGUCUGUCUGGGAGAUAACACGAGAUCUGCAGCGCUUAGCGCAGCGAAAAGCAAAGCUGGAAGCAUGGGUUUCUGUAACAGAACGGCCUCUGAGUACGGCGGGUCGGGCUUUUUGCAGGGGGAGAAAUCUGUGCCACGCGUGAUUCUCUUCACUGAACGCUGAGCCACCAGCUUGCCUGGUGAUGCCAUGUGGGACACCAAGGAAAGUUAAAGAAAUCUCAGCCAUCAGUAAUAAAGCACUGGCGAUUUUGUGUAAUCCAUGGGGAAAGCAGGGGGUGUGGCAGGCUCAUGGCGUGACACGGAAUCUCCCAGCGCUGGAGCAGGAGCCAGGCCGGUGCCAUCGCAUUUCUCAUUGCAGUGAUCGCACAGCCUUCCGCCACACAGCUGCAGGAAUAGCGGGCACGGGCCGCGGUGUGGGCAGGCCCUGAUGCUCCUGUCCCAGGAUGUAAUCAUCCUGGUAUCCUGGCAAAACCCACCUGCAGUAAGCACAGCCACGAGCAGUGGACAUACAGCCUGAAAAUCCUGCAGCCGUGAACCAUCCUCGUUCCCCGAGUCCAUCCCAAGCUGGAGGACACAGCGCUGAUGCGGGUCCUGGGCAAUGCACAGAGGGAGGUUCAGACAGACAUCUCUCAACAUGGUUUUCUUGCAGUACUCCGGCCAUCCUAAGAACAUUCCCUUGGAUUUUUAUACAUCGUUCUUAUGACCUUACCAUAUCACACAGGAGACUUACUUUCCCAGCUUAUUGUUACCUGCUGCUAAUCCAGACGGCUGCUCACACAAUACCCCAUUAUCCAGCAAAACAACACGUCCUGACAAACGCUGCUCAGCGAGCACUGGCCACCAAUCCGAGAGAGACGGGGUCACUGCUGAACAAUACCAAGAGAGGUCUCACUAGCUUCUUCUCCCUCCUCCAUUCAAUGAGCUGUUAAUAGACAAGCUGUUAGAGAGAAAAAGAACUAAACAGUUUACAAGCUUACAUUUGAAGGCCUGUGAAUUGCAUUAGCUGAGCCAGCUGAGCGAGAGCCAAGGCAAUCUCCCCACGAUUGUAGAAAAUGGCAUUGAGGCAUGUGGAGGCAAAGAAAGAAUGACAGUGACCAGGUUUACAAUAUGCAAAGCUGAAAUAAUUACUGCUUUCUGUGGCAUAGAAUUUGUAGUUGAACUACCAUAUGGAAUCAAAGCAUUCAGUUAAAUGCACAAGUGUGUUUGUGUGUUCAUAUUUUAAAACUUUCUCUCUUCUAUGCAAAUAUUUAUUUACAGUGUUAAUAAAAACUUUCUGAAGCUGUUUUUUAUUAUUUCCUCAUUGGACCCCCUCCUACCUCUCAUUCUCUACUGCAGAGGCCACUCUCAGUAUGAGAAAUGACCACAGUAUUUUUCAUUACUCUCUGGGUUUUUUGGGGCCUAGCAGUUAUGAAUACGAAUGUGAACCACUUUCAAUACAAUUACCUGGACAAUAAUCUGGGAUCUGUGGAGCUGGAAUGUGCAACUGAAAAUAUUUGUAACCCUUUGGUUACCAGCCAAGUGAUUGACAUAGUUCUUUUUCAUAUUUCAUUCUGUCCUUCAAUUUUACCAGAGGGGGGGAAAAAAUUGAAAAGUAGCAGAACUAGACAAAUUAAUAAUAGUGAAAUAGAAAAAUUGAAAAGUAAAUAAUGGAACUAUCAAAUCAUUCAUUUUAAGACUUUUUGUGGCAGAAAAGAUGAAGGAAAGAACAGUUAAAGACCAGCCACUAUUGAACAAUCAUAGUUCAAAAUUUCUACCUUUGAGAAAAGCUCAGAAACUUUUAAGGGGACCAUAGCUUCAAAGAAAAGGAUUGGUGCGGAUAAAAUACACGUUCAGGUAAGAGAUUUCAACUUGCUUAGUAAUUUUCUUCUUUCUAUUGUUCUCCCCAUUUUUGGUAGUCUUUGGUUAGAGAGAGGGCAGGUGCUGUCUCUAAUGCAGGGCUGCAAUGCCAGCAGGAAGGGCUGAGGGAGCUGGUUUAAUGCAGCCCUUACAAACAGCCUGAGGGACUCAGGCAGUGGCUGCUGGGGCUUUCAGCGAAGGACACUGGUGGCUUUUGCUGUAACCUCCACUAAUGGGCAGCUGUCUUUGACAGCUCAUUCAAAGUCCAGUUAAAGCCACAAAAAUAAGCUUGACAGCAACCACAACUCUGUUUUUUUUUAAAACAAUUUUUUGGUACAUUAUCACAUAGCUCAUUCACAAACUGGACUUACUUGGGUCAGUGAUCCAGAAAACAACUUUUCCAGUCAGACUUCAGCUUUGCCCAUUAAACUUUGUCUCAAAAUCUGAGUAUAUUUACCAAAGAGAAACCUUUUAGUCAUGCUUAGAGUACCAACCAUCUAUUGCUUAUAUCUGAAAGGAAAGUAAUCCAGCAUCCCUCUACAUGUGGCAAGAAUUUCUGCCGCUAUUUUAAGACCAAUGGCAAAGCUCAUGUUGGCCUUAGAAUGGACAGACUGACUUCUGAAUUGUUAAAUGCUCUCUUCUGGUUCCAGUCCCACAGUGUCAGUGCAGGUAAAUCAGUUUCUGGAAUUAGUCACCUGAGAUCCGAUCAAGUAGAGAUUAUGGAUUUUCAGGUCCUUGAUUAUGAACAUUUUUCAAGUAGGCUGAGAAAAAUUCUCUUUGGAGGCUUCAGAGAAACCAUCAUGUCAAGAGCAUUUUUUUUUUAGUGAAAGGCUGAGGAUUUAUCUAAUCAAACCUGGGAAUCAUUCUCUUUUGUUUUGCUGGGAUCGUUUUCCUGAGCUGUUCAGUGUUCCCCUCCUCUUAGAUCCUUUCAUUCAAGUUAGUAGUUUCCUUAUAUUGGCUGAUCUUUAUUUCUGCUUUUAAUAUUCUCUAUUGAUUUUAUUGUAGUGCACUUACAUGCUGUUCAACAGUCGCUUAUUACUGUAAAUAAAAUGAGAUAAAUAA